rnacentral:rRNA from 1 species
UUAAAUUGAAGAGUUUGAUCAUGGCUCAGAUUGAACGCUGGCGGCAGGCCUAACACAUGCAAGUCGAGCGGUAGCACAGAGAGCUUGCUCUCGGGU